UAUAAAUUGAUCCAAAUAGUUUCAAUUUAUUACAUGUGAAAAUGGCUGAAAUUUUCAAGUUUGUUUAUACUAUUAUCCUUUUUGUUUCCCUAUUGCUUGUUGUAGUCAAUGUUUAUGGAAAGCGUAAUCCUCCAAAUUUUCAACGUAUACCAUGCCCUGAUCAGAAAACUCUUUACUGCACUCUAAAAAAAUGUUACUGCAUUUAACAGUUAAGAUUAUGUUCAAAAUGGUUGUGGCAAGGGAACUUCGCUUGGGAAAGAGUAGUGUAGGGCUUAAUUAUGCCUAGCUAUAUUUCAUUUUCCAGUGUUUUUAGUAUUGUUAGAUUAGUUUAGUUUUGUUUUGUUGUAUUCCUAAGAAAUUAUUGUUGUUAUUUGUUU